rnacentral:rRNA from 1 species
UACGGAGGGUGCAAACGUUGCUCGGAAUCAUUGGGCGUAAAGCGCACGUAGGUGGCUUGUUAAGUCGGGUGUGAAAUCCCUGGGCUCAACCCAGGAAGUGCACUCGAAACUGGCGAGCUUGAGUACUGAAGAGGGUCGCGGAAUUCCCAGUGUAGUGGUGAAAUACGUAGAGAUUGGGAAGAACACCAGUGGCGAAGGCGGCUAUCUGGACGGUUUCUGACACUAAGACUCGAAAGCGUGGGGAGCAAACAGG